UACAGAGGUCUCAAGCGUUGUUCGGAUUCAUUGGGCGUAAAGGGUGCGCAGGCGGCACGGUAAGUCGGGUGUGAAAUCUCGGAGCUUAACUCCGAAACUGCAUUCGAUACUGCCGUGCUUGAGGACUGGAGAGGAGACUGGAAUUUACGGUGUAGCGGUGAAAUGCGUAGAUAUCGUAAGGAAGACCAGUGGCGAAGGCGGGUCUCUGGACAGUUCCUGACGCUGAGGCACGAAGGUCAGGGGAGCAAACGGG
rnacentral:rRNA from 1 species